CACCCAUCACUGUUUAUUUCCUGUGUUAGGUAGGGACCACCCAUCACUGUUUAUUUCCUGUGUUAGGUAGGGACCACCCAUCACUGUUUAUUUCCUGUGUUAGGUAGGGACCACCCAUCACUGUUUAUUUCCUGUGUUAGGUAGGGACCACCCAUCACUGUUUAUUUCCUGUGUUAGGUAGGGACCACCCAUCACUGUUUAUUUCCUGUGUUAGGUAGGGACCACCCAUCACUGUUUAUUUCCUGUGUUAGGUAGGGACCACCCAUCACUGUUUAUUUCCUGUGUUAGGUAGGGACCACCCAUCACUGUUUAUUUCCUGUGUUAGGUAGGGACCACCCAUCACUGUUUAUUUCCUGUGUUAGGUAGGGACCACCCAUCACUGUUUAUUUCCUGUGUUAGGUAGGGACCACCCAUCACUGUUUAUUUCCUCUUCACUUGUCCCUGAUACUCUUCCGUAGUGUCUGUGUUAGGUCGAGACUGAUCAGUUGGUAAUGGGCUGUAUUAGCGCUACGCUGUGAGCUAAAGGAAGUCUUGGUCAUAUCAUAUAAUUUAUCACUCUUCUGCUCAGUGGAGCAGGAGGUCACAUCCAGGGAAUUGGCAUUUCUUAGAAGAUAAAUGUGAGAAACACAAAAAUGUACAUAAUUUAGUUGACAGGGUUAUAUGUUUGUCAAUUCGUUAUUGGUAAAUCUAUGAUCAUACAGUGUAUGUAGGUUUACUCUUUAGCUACAAUAUUGUCUCAUUGUUAUCCAAGGACUACUGCUUAUUUUCUCAUUGUUAACUAUGACUACAGUUUAGCUGGCGUAUUAUCUCAUUGUUGUCCAUGACUUGAUAAACAGAAAUGUGAAAUAAAUCAUUAGUGGUGUUUUUCCUAA